GUACUGUUGAUGAGUUCCACAACAGGACGAAACGGCCGUCCAGUGU
rnacentral:hammerhead_ribozyme from 1 species